UUCGUGGUGUAGCGGAGGAAUCCGCAGAUAUCAGGAGGAACACCGAUGGCGAAGGCAGUUCUGUGGGCCAUUACUGACGUUGAGGAGCGACCAGCAGGGGGAGCGAGCAGGAUUAGAUACCGUGGUACUCCAUGCCGUCAUCGGUGGGCGGUAGAUGUGGGGAUCAUUCCACGGUUUCCGUGUCGUAGCUAACGCAAUAAGCCCCCCGCCUGGGGAGUACGGCCGCAAGGCUAAAAAUCAAAGGAAUUGACGGGGGCCCCCACAAGCGGCGGAGCAUGCGGAUUAAUUUGAUGCAACGCGAAGAACCUUACCAAGGCUUGACAUAUACCGGAAACGUUCAGAAAUGUUCGCCCCGCAAGGUCGGUAUACAGGUGGUGCAUGGUUGUCGUCAGCUCGUGUCGUGAGAUGUUGGGUUAAGUCCCGCAACGAGCGCAACCCUCGUCGUAUGUUGCCAGCACGUAAUGGUGGGAACUCAUAGGAGACUGCCGGGGUCAACUCGGAGGAAGGUGGGGAUGACGUCAAAUCAUCAUGCCCCUUAUGUCGUGGGCUUCACGCAUGCUACAAUGGCUGGUACAAGGGGCUGCAAUACCGCGAGGUGGAGCGAAUCCCAAAAAGCCAGUCUCAGUUCGGAUUGGGGUCUGCAACUCGACCCCAUGAAGUCGGAGUCGCUAGUAAUCGCAGAUCAGCAACGCUGCGGUGAAUACGUUCCCGGGCCUUGUACACACCGCCCGUCAAGUCAUGAAAGUCGGCAACACCCGAAGCCG
rnacentral:rRNA from 1 species